rnacentral:rRNA from 1 species
GAUGAACGCUAGCGGCAGGCUUAAUACAUGCAAGUCGUGGGGCAGCAGGUUUGUAGCAAUACAGAUGCUGGCGACCGGCAAACGGGGUGCGGAACACGUACAGAACCUUCCUUUGAGCGGGGAAUAGCCCAGAGAAAUUUGGAUUAAUACCCCAUAGUAUAAUGAAGUGGCAUCACUUUAUUAUUAAAGAUUUAUCACUCGAAGAUGGCUGUGCGGCUGAUUAGGUAGUUGGCGGGGUAAAGGCCCACCAAGCCUGCGAUCAGUAACUGGUGUGAGAGCACGACCAGUCACACGGGCACUGAGACACGGGCCCGACUCCUACGGGAGGCAGCAGUAAGGAAUAUUGGUCAAUGGAGGCAACUCUGAACCAGCCAUGCCGCGUGGAGGAUGAAGGUCCUCUGGAUUGUAAACUCUUUUAUAUGGGUACGAAAAAGGCUUUUCUAAGUCGUCUGACGGUACCAUAUGAAUAAGCACCGGCUAACUCCGUAGCCAGCAGCCG